rnacentral:rRNA from 1 species
UACGUAGGGUGCAAGCGUUGUCCGGAAUUAUUGGGCGUAAAGAGCUCGUAGGCGGUCUGUCACGUCGGCUGUGAAAACUCGGGGCUCAACCCCGAGCCUGCAGUCGAUACGGGCAGACUAGAGUCCGGCAGGGGAGACUGGAAUUCCUGGUGUAGCGGUGAAAUGCGCAGAUAUCAGGAGGAACACCGGUGGCGAAGGCGGGUCUCUGGGCCGGAACUGACACUGAGGCACGAAAGCGUGGGGAGCAAACAGG